CCCUCUUCCGUUGCCUUCCUCACCUCUCAAGAACGGCUUCCGCCGUUUCUGUUAUCUCCGUCGAUCUCAAGAAGGGGAAGUGGUUGAGGCGGAGACCACCACCGGAGCCGUUCCCUUCCGGCUCCAAUUGGAUAAGCCCAUCCCCUUCAAGAAUGGGAUCCUGAGAAGAUAUGCUCGCCGCGGUCACCGAGGACUCCAUGAUCGUAACCCUUGCAUAGAUCAAGAUCGGAGCUCGCAGAGGACUCCAAGAUCGUCUUGCCUCAUUUCAAGUGGCAGAGGCUUUGGAUUAUCCUCCACCCCACGGUAAAUAACGCAGCAUUUGCUGUGAGCUCUGCCGCGGCUAUUUGGAGUUCGUAAUUUCCCGCCAGAAUUCUUGUGACACUCCACGAACUCGAGUUGUAGCUGUUUCGUACGAACUCGAGAACCUUUCGAAAGUGCAAUCUGCAGCAGCAAAAGUUUUUCUGGUCAAAAGAAGGUUGGGCAAAGCAAUAAAAAAGAACGCAGAUUGUGUGCUGAAUUUUUUUCAGAAUUAUUUACGAUUAUUUUCAAUAUCAAGGAAAAGGAAAUGCCAUUUUGUAAAUUUCUGACAUAUAUUACACAAAUUUUUAAAUAUGAUAGAUUUUAUGAUCAUAAUUAUAGUUUUAUGAUCAUCCAGUUUUACGAGUCCACAACCAAAAUAUUUUAGAUCAAAGUGGAUGGACGGUUUACUAGGAUAAUCAAAAUAUAUUACAAUAUCUUGCUCUGAAUUUGAAGGUGAGCAAGACCAGUGAUUUUAUUCUCAUUGUCUUUAGACUUAAUUUCUACGAGGUUAUGAAUUGGUUGUCUAUCUACUCGCUCUCUACUAUGUACGAAGGACCAUCAAUCCAAAUUGACAAGAUCCUGGUUUAUGUGAGAAUCAGAUAUGUGCCAGUUACUUUAGCACUGCAUUAUAAUUAAUUGUGUAAAAUCAAAUAGAAAUUCUAAUACUUCAAAAAUAUUUCUAUCAGUUCAUCAAAACUACAAUUAAAAUUAAUUCAUAUCAUAUCAAGAAGCGUUAUAUUAAGAGUUAUCUUUUUUUUUAAUGUUAUCUGACUGACUUCCCAUAGUAUAUCAGCAGUUCCUCCUUGAACC